rnacentral:rRNA from 1 species
AACGAACGCUGGCGGCAUGCCUAACACAUGCAAGUCGAACGAGACCUUCGGGUCUAGUGGCGCACGGGUGCGUAACGCGUGGGAACCUGCCCUUAGGUUCGGAAUAACUCCCCGAAAGGGGUGCUAAUACCGGAUAAUGUCUUCGGACCAAAGAUUUAUCGCCUUUGGAUGGGCCCGCGUUGGAUUAGCUAGUUGGUAGGGUAAAAGCCUACCAAGGCGACGAUCCAUAGCUGGUCUGAGAGGAUGAUCAGCCACACUGGGACUGAGACACGGCCCAGACUCCUACGGGAGGCAGCAGUGGGGAAUAUUGGACAAUGGACGAAAGCCUGAUCCAGCAAUGCCGCGUGAGUGAUGAAGGCCUUAGGGUUGUAAAGCUCUUUUACCCGGGAUGAUAAUGACAGUACCGGGAGAAUAAGCUCCGGCUAACUCCGUGC